UCCAGAUCUGCCCCAGCUUGCUUGUGAAGGGUCAGGAGGUCUUGCUGCUCCUGCCUUUGCUGGAGGCGAUGUCAGCGAAGCUCUUUCGGGUAUGACUGGGACUGAUCAUGUUCCUGGUGUCACACACUGCCCGUGAUGGGCGGCAGAGCCAGUUUUUCUGCUCUGAAAGCGGGGCUGGGGAGGGGACCGCAACACUCAAAUACCCAGAUCCCUGGGAGCUGCCAGCCAGGCAUCGAGGAGGCCGCUUGCCUUUUCCAGCUCCAGGUGUGACGGUCUUGUGCACCAGGCCUCUUUGUCUUCUCUGAAAUGUCAGCAAUCCUGAAAUGGUUUGGACGGGAAGAUAAGGAGAAAGAGGACAAGGAAAAGGACAAGGAAAAAGAGAAGGAAGAAGAGAAGGAAAAGACUGAGGGAGAAAAAGAGAAGGAGAAGGAAGAAAAACAGAAGGAGAAGAAGCAGGAGAAGGAGCAGGAGCAGGUAAAGGAAAAGACUAAGGAAGAAAAACAGAAGG
rnacentral:lncRNA from 1 species